GUCAGGAGGAACCAGGAGAAAAUCUGUACAGGGAAACCUUUUCAGUUUCUUUGUGUCAAUACACCAGGACUGGAUGUUUCCCAGUUUGUACUGGUUCAAAUCCCUGGAUCAUAUAGGAACGUCUAAUCAGAAGAUGUGUCCAGAUGUGUCGGAGAACAAUGGCAACUCCCAUGGACGUGAGCAUGACUUGUAUCCUCCUGAGUUCUCCCAGAAGACAUUUUUAUCUCACA